AUCGAAACUCACAGACAAAAGAUGUAUCAAUUAAUUUAGCGAGAUCACUUUAUAAGGCUGGGAAUGCUGUUGAUGCUAUACAGGAAUGUGAAAAUUUGAGGAAAGAAGGUUCACUUCGUAUUCACAAUUUAUCUCUUUUUAGAGUUCUUCAAAUUUUUUUUAAUUUUAAAGUAUAAAGAAUUUAUUAUUGUGCUUGAAUAUUAACUGAUUCUUGUUUGCUAUAAGUUAUCAAAACUUCCUUCUGUUUAUAAAUGGAAGCUUUAAACUCAUGAAUUGCCUCAUGUAAAGAGGCAUUUUCCUGCAAUCUUUGUGAAAGGAUAUUGUAACUGGUCUUGCUUGGAAAGAUAUUUCAAUUUUUCUUUUGUGUUUACACUGUUGCAUUUUAUCUUGUUUAAGGAAUGCUUGACUUCGAAAUUUUUCAAGUAUAUGCAAUCUCGUUGUGGCAACUUGGUAAAAAUGAUUUAGCACUCUCAAUAGUCAGAAGUCUUGCAGCAAGUGUUUCUUCUAUGGAAAAGACAGCCAUUAAGAUCUCCAU